rnacentral:rRNA from 1 species
CCUACGGGGGGCUGCAGUGGGGAAUAUUGCACAAUGGGCGCAAGCCUGAUGCAGCCAUGCCGCGUGUGUGAAGAAGGCCUUCGGGUUGUAAAGCACUUUCAGCGGGGAGGAAGGCGUUAAGGUUAAUAACCUUGGCGAUUGACGUUACCCGCAGAAGAAGCACCGGCUAACUCCGUGCCAGCAGCCGCGGUAAUACGGAGGGUGCAAGCGUUAAUCGGAAUUACUGGGCGUAAAGCGCACGCAGGCGGUCUGUCAAGUCGGAUGUGAAAUCCCCGGGCUCAACCUGGGAACUGCAUUCGAAACUGGCAGGCUAGAGUCUUGUAGAGGGGGGUAUAAUUCCAGGUGGAGCGGUGAAAUGCGUAGAGAUCUGGAGGAAUACCGGUGGCGAAGGCGGCCCCCUGGACAAAGACUGACGCUCAGGUGCGAAAGCGUGGGGAGCAAACAGGAUUAGAUACCCUUGUAGUC